UUACUGAGCCCAUUUAAUUUCAGACCAAUACGUGAGCUUCUCUAUUAACCUAUAUUCAUCAGAUCCUUGUAGUAUCAAUCUAUACAUUACAUUCUUGCAACAGAGCAUCCUAUUCCAUGACACAGCCCUUUUUCCACUUUCCUGGGAGUCUAAUAAUUUAAAGCCCAUAUGAUAGAAGCAUGGAGAUCAAAUAUGGUAUCAAAUAGAACAAGAAUCAUCAUGAAAGAAGGCCAUUUCCCUGCUUAGAUUAUGCAACUGACCAUCUUAAGUUAUCAAAACCUUCUUGCUUUGGACAUGCAACUGACCCUCAAACCUUUGAAGCUGGGCUUAGAAGCAUCUCUCUUUAUCACCCUCUGUACUUUUGAGGAGAAU
rnacentral:misc_RNA from 1 species